rnacentral:lncRNA from 1 species
GUUGGGAUGAUGGAAGCAGAGGUUGGAGUAAUGUGCUUUGAAGAUGGAAAAAGAGAGCAUGAACUAAGAAAUAUAGGUGACUCUAGAAGCUAAGAAAGAGGAGAAAUUGGGACUGCCAGUGACGCAUGGAAAGGAAAGAUGAUGUCUUCCUCUUACCUGAAGUAAACGUGGUUGGAGUUGUAAUGGGAUUCAUACUGAUAACAGAGAAGAGGGUUGGCUAUCGAUUCCAGGAUUCGAGCUACACAUCUGAACACACUCCUCUUGGUGCCAGAGACUCCUGCAACAGCAAUGUGUUCCUCAUUCUCUCACGGAACUCCUUACACCAUUUAGGCAUCAUUAAUCGCACUGCUCCAUCAGCUUACAUCACAUCAAGGAGCUGGUCAGCUGGAACUUUGCGUCCAAGAGUUGACAUCAGUUUCUAAACUAGCCCCAG